UGGUUAGGAGAUCAAUAUCAAGAAAUGCUCUUUUUCGUCAAGAAAAGAGCAUGACUUAUAACGAACAUGGUUCUUGCCUUUUACCAGAGCCAUCCGGGUAUUGUCUCUGUUUGCCACCUUCCUGGUCCUUUUCUUCAAAUAUUAUAACAUUUUUU
rnacentral:snRNA from 1 species